rnacentral:rRNA from 1 species
UACGUAGGGGGCGAGCGUUGUCCGGAAUUAUUGGGCGUAAAGAGCUCGUAGGCGGGACCGUAAGUCCGAGAGGAAAUCUCAAGGCUCAACUUUGGGGCUUUCUUGGAUACUGCGGUUCUUGAGGAUGAGAGAGGUAAGCAGAAUUCCCGGUGUAGCGGUGAAAUGCGUAGAUAUCGGGAGGAAUACCAGUGGCGAAGGCGGCUUACUGGCUCAUUCCUGACGCUGAGGAGCGAAAGCGUGGGGAGCAAACGGG